CUGGCUCAGGACGAACGCUGGCGGCGUGCCUAACACAUGCAAGUCGAACGGAGUGCUUCGCUGAUUUGAGAUUAGCUUGCUAAAGGAUUUUCUUGGAGCACUUAGUGGCGGACGGGCGAGUAACGCGUGAGUAACCUGCCCAUAAGUGAGGGAUAGCCGAUGGAAACGUCGAGUAAUACCUCAUAUUGUAUACACCUCGCAUGGGGAGUAUAUGAAAGAUUUAUUGCUUAUGGAUGGACUCGCGUCAGAUUAGAUAGUUGGUGAGGUAACGGCUCACCAAGUCGACGAUCUGUAGCCGAACUGAGAGGUUGAUCGGCCGCAUUGGGACUGAGACACGGCCCAGACUCCUACGGGAGGCAGCAGUGGGGAAUAUUGCGCAAUGGGGGAAACCCUGACGCAGCAACGCCGCGUGCAGGAAGAAGGUCUUCGGAUUGUAAACUGUUGUCGCAAGGGAAGAAGACAGUGACGGUACCUUGUGAGAAAGUCACGGCUAACUACGUGCCAGCAGCCGCGGUAAUACGUAGGUGACAAGCGUUGUCCGGAUUUACUGGGUGUAAAGGGCGUGUAGGCGGGAUAGCAAGUCAGUCGUGAAAUACCGAGGCUCAACCUCGGGGCUGCGAUUGAAACUGUUAUUCUUGAGUAUCGGAGAGGAAAGCGGAAUUCCCAGUGUAGCGGUGAAAUGCGUAGAUAUUGGGAGGAACACCAGUGGCGAAGGCGGCUUUCUGGACGACAACUGACGCUGAGGCGCGAAAGUGUGGGGAGCAAACAGGAUUAGAUACCCUGGUAGUCCACACCGUAAACGAUGGAUACUAGGUGUAGGAGGUAUCGACUCCUUCUGUGCCGCAGUUAACACAAUAAGUAUCCCACCUGGGGAGUACGACCGCAAGGUUGAAACUCAAAGGAAUUGACGGGGGCCCGCACAAGCAGUGGAGUAUGUGGAUUAUUUCAAAGCAACGCGAAAAACCUUACCUGGUCU
rnacentral:rRNA from 1 species